AGAGUUUGAUCCUGGCUCAGGAUGAACGCUAGCGACAGGCCUAACACAUGCAAGUCGAGGGGUAGCAGUGUAGCAAUACAGCUGACGACCGGCGCACGGGUGAGUAACGCGUAUGCAACCUACCUAUUACAGGGGGAUAACCCGGAGAAAUUCGGAUUAAUACCGCAUAACACUAUUGUAUGGCAUCAUAUAAUAGUUAAAGAUUUAUUGGUAAUAGAUGGGCAUGCGUUCCAUUAGUUAGUUGGUGAGGUAACGGCUCACCAAGACGUCGAUGGAUAGGGGUUCUGAGAGGAAGGUCCCCCACACUGGUACUGAGACACGGACCAGACUCCUACGGGAGGCAGCAGUGAGGAAUAUUGGUCAAUGGGCGAGAGCCUGAACCAGCCAAGUCGCGUGCAGGAUGACUGCCUUAUGGGUUGUAAACUGCUUUUAUACAGGAAUAACAACAGGGACGUGACCUUGGAUGAAUGUAC
rnacentral:rRNA from 1 species